GCUUCCAGCUCAACUCGCCCUGGGUCGAUUCCACCGUCGCUCAACUCUAUGGACACUAAACUCACAUUCCGUACAUGUCAUGUGGAGUCAGCUCUUUCAGUGUGGGCUCACGUUUGUGUGUGACGAGAGAAAAAAUGCUGUGAAUGUGGCGUUGUAAAGCCUGCCCCGCAGAUUUACCAAGUAGGUCCC